rnacentral:tRNA from 2 species
GCGCUCGUAGCUCAGGGGAUAGAGCAUCGGUUUCCGGUACCGUGCGUCGGGGGUUCGAAUCCCUCCGAGCGCG